rnacentral:tRNA from 1 species
GGAAGUGCGUCGGCUCUGGUGAGUCGCCUGGUCUUCAAAACCAGUGUGGGGUGCUUGACGGCGGCCCAGGCGAGUUCGAUUCUCGUGCACUUCCGCCA